rnacentral:pre_miRNA from 15 species
CGGAAAGACAAGUACUGCCUACUGGCCACUACUGUUGCUAACAUGCAACUCUGUUCAAUUUAAAUUGGAAUUGCACUUUAGCAAUGGUGACGGACUGACGUGGGCCAGCAACAGGGAAGC